UACGGAGGGUGCAAGCGUUGCUCGGAAUUAUUGGGCGUAAAGCGUAUGUAGGCGGUUUUCUAAGUCUGAUGUGAAAUCCCGGGGCUCAACCCCGGAACUGCAUUGGAUACUGGAAAGCUAGAGGACGAUAGAGGAUGGUGGAAUUCCAGGUGUAGGGGUGAAAUCCGUAGAUAUACUGGAGGAACAUCAUGUGGCGAAGGCGGCCAUCUGGAUCGUACCUGACGCUGAGAUACGAAAGCGUGGGGAGCAAACAGG
rnacentral:rRNA from 1 species